AUGCCUCGCCGUAUACACUCAGACCAGGGAGCCAACUUUGAGAGCGCUUUAAUAACCGAACUGUUGAGUGUUGCAGGCGUUCAGAAGUCUCACACCACUCCGUACCAUCCAAUGGGGAAUGGGUCCUGUGAAAGGAUGAAUAGGACUUUGGGAAACAUGAUCCGGGCCCUGCCAACGAGAGCAAAGCACAGAUGGCCUCAGGCGCUGAAGUCCCUCACGUUUGAGGACAAUUGUACAAUCCAAGAGACCACAGGCUUUGCCCCUUUCCUGCUAAUGUUUGGGAGGACGCCAAUACUGCCUGUUGACAUAGUCUUUGGCUCUGUCAUAGAGAACCCAGAAGUUGUCGACUAUGACCAGUUUGUUCAGUCUUUGAGGAGAGAUCUGAAAGAAGCCAUGAAUGCAGCACAGGCAUCUGCAGUGAAGCAGUUGAAGAGGCAUGCUGACCUUUAUGACAGAAGAGUCAGAGGAGCACCAGUGGAGAUUAGGGAUCGAUUAUUGCUGGCUAAAAAGGGGGAGCGGGGAAAGCGGAAGCUCGCUGACCGUUGGGAGGAUACUGUCUACCUUGUCACUGGAUUGAAUGCUGACAGUCACACUUUUAAGAACAGCUCCACUGGAUGGGAGAAGACGGUACAUCGCAACCUGAUAAUGCCAGUCAACUUUCUUCCUCUUCCCCAUGCUGCCGUUGAUGAGGGAACAGACAUGUCUGGAUUAACAGAGUCUGAGGACAUGAAUGACAGCCUUGUGGUCUCAGCUGCCAUGGACACUGCAGUGGAUGAUGGUGCUGAAUACAGUACCAGAGUGUGGGUGUCAGAAUUGUCUUCUGAAGGAACAGGUGACACAAGCCUGGAGGGUGAUGUGCGAUCCUUGGAUGCUCAGGAUAUUCCACCUUUGGAUUCUGUGGAUGAUAUACUGCAGCUGGAAGGUCUGUCUCAAUCAGAGAGUCUUCAAGAAUCUGACCGAGACUGUAACAGUGUAGUGAGUGAGCUAAUUGACCAGUCUGUUUACGAUAUCUGUACUGACCUACCAAACGCAGACCAUUCCUUACCUGAUCAGUUACGCACGGACUGUGUUGACGGACACACUAUUGCAACAGUACACAACACUGUUACCCCUUAUCCAGUUGAAGGUAGUCGGGGUCGUAUUAGGUAA
rnacentral:lncRNA from 1 species